CCUACGGGUGGCAGCAGUGGGGGAUAUUGCACAAUGGGGGAAACCCUGAUGCAGCGACGCCGCGUGGGCGAAGAAGUAUUUCGGUAUGUAAAGCCCUAUCAGCAGGGAAGAAGAAAUGACGGUACCUGAGUAAGAAGCACCGGCUAAAUACGUGCCAGCAGCCGCGGUAAUACGUAUGGUGCAAGCGUUAUCCGGAUUUACUGGGUGUAAAGGGAGCGCAGGCGGCACGGCAAGCCUGAUGUGAAAGCCCGCGGCCCAACCCCGGGACUGCAUUGGGAACUACCGGGCUGGAGUGCCGGAGAGGUAGGCGGAAUGCCUAGUGUAGCGGUGAAAUGCUUAGAUAUCGCGCAGAACCCCGAUUGCGAAGGCAGCGUACCGGCUCCACACUGACGCUGAGGCACGAAAGCGUGGGUAUCGAACAGGAUUAGAUACCCCGGUAGUC
rnacentral:rRNA from 1 species